UAUGGUAGGGGUAGCGGUAAAAUGUUAUAAUCCCUACUAGACUACCUGUGGCGAAGGCGUCUGACUAGGACGGAUUCGACAGUGAGGGAAGAAAGCCAGGGGAGCGAUCCGGAUUAGAUACCCGAGUAGUCCUGGCUGUAAACGCUGCGAGCAAGGUGUUGCAUAUUCUUCGAGAAUGUGCAGUAUCGAAAUGAAGAUGAUAAGCUCGCCGCCUGGGAAGUAUGGUCGCAAGACUGAAACUUAAAGGAAU
rnacentral:rRNA from 1 species